UCAAAGAGAAAAUGUCUGCACUCGUCUCUGCUUUGUCUGCCUGUCAAGAUAAAAUGGGUACAUGAUAUCUUUCUACUUUUCCUUCUGAGCUAUUUGAUUGUUUUGAAGCUAUAAAACCAGUUUGGGCACCAUAUUACACCAUUCACAAGAUACUGGCAGGUCUUUUGGAUCAACACAUAUUUGCCAAUAAUAAUCAAGCUUUAAAGAUAGUGACAUGGAUGGUUGACUACUUUUACAAGCGUGUUUAGAAUGUGAUAGUGAAGUACACUAUUGAAAAACACUGGCUAUCAUUAAAUGAAGAAACUGGUGGCAUGAAUGAUGUCCUUUAUAGGUUGUACACAAUAACAGUGCAUAAAACUCAUCUAGGAACCUCCUUAGCUCUUCAUCGUGGGAGAUUCAAAACAUUUAUUGUUGGCUCACCUUUUUGACAAACCCUGCUUUCUAGGAUUGCUUGCGAUAAAGGUCAAGUGACAGAGUUUGAUAGUCCAGCAAGGUUAUUAGAUGACAAGUCUUCCAUGUUUCUUAAGUUGGU